AAAUAGUCCCUAUUAAAAUGGUUGAUUAAUUGUUACAUUUUACUUCUAACUUCAAUGGGGAGAGAAGUUGCUGAAGGAGAAGGGAAAGAGAGAAAAGAGUCUGAAAGUGAAAGGGAGUAACAAGUUGCUGGUAAAAUGAGAGAAAGGAGCAACAUUCAGGAAAAUGGAAACCAUAUCCCUUAAGGAAUGUACUAUAAUACAACGACAUUCUGAGGAAACAGCAUCCCCAGGAAAAACAACUACAACUGUAACAGAUAAUGUUCUUUGAGACACUGAAACCAGAAUUCC
rnacentral:lncRNA from 1 species